rnacentral:rRNA from 1 species
UACGAAGGGGGCUAGCGUUGCUCGGAAUCACUGGGCGUAAAGCGCACGUAGGCGGGUUGUUAAGUCAGGGGUGAAAUCCUGGAGCUCAACUCCAGAACUGCCUUUGAUACUGGCAACCUAGAGACUGGAAGAGGUUAGUGGAAUUCCCAGUGUAGAGGUGAAAUUCGUAGAUAUUGGGAAGAACACCAGUGGCGAAGGCGGCUAACUGGUCCAGCACUGGACGCUGAGGUGCGAAAGCGUGGGGAGCAAACAGG